GCACGUGUGAGGUAGUGUGUAGAAAAUGCACGUUACUGGGGAAUGCAAGCUGCCUUUAAAAAUAUAGAUUUAAGUCAAACUGCUGUAUUCCAGCCACAGCACUGAUUUAGUAGACUUGGUUUUUAAAUACAAUACUCUUCAGCCAAACAGGAGGGCGAUUUUGGCUGUCAGCAUCGUUUUGAAGAUUAGAACCCAAAGCAAAUGCGCACGUGUUUUAUUCUCUAAACCUGGGCCUUUGUGUUCCUCUCGUGCUUUCUUCCAGGAAACCAUUAAUAGCAGAAUGUCGGCAAAGUUUCAUUCCCUGGGCAAGGUCAUCAGCCCAGCACCUGCCGUUGGUACACACACAGAGUUUUUCGCUGCAGAUAAGAGGACAAAUCGGCUUAGUCACUUGCUCGACUUCUAUAAAAUCCCCUCUGGAAGUUUUACAACGAGGCAAGUGUGGAGCUGGACCCAGAUCACACCAUGAAGGGAAUGGAGGAGACGGAGAGAGGAUGAGUUCAGGCUUUAAUAAUAUCUACUCUGCCUCCUCAUUCUCCCGUUCUCUCCUGCCCACAUUUUGUGCCUCGGCUACAGUGUCCUCAACAUGACUGAGACUACGACACUCUUAACAUAGCAAAAUGGUAAAAUGUAGCUUUCUGAAAUACAUGUUUACAAAAGAAUCAGUGAUUCGUGGCGCUGGAGGAAGGGUCUAAUCUCUCCUAAUAAUCACUGCAGUUAAGUUGAAGUUUGUAAUUAUUGUAAAGGUACCCAGGAGGUGUUACCGCUGUUGUCUCCAACGUUCAUUUGAUCAAUGAUGGGUAUUUUUUAAGCCCAGUGACGCAGGUUCCUGCCGAACCUUUUCCUCAAGGGGCACAGUGCAGCAGCCUGAGCGUGCCCUCCCGUCACAGCAUCACUGUCUGACACUCUGUAACUGAAGCUUUUUUAUACUUAAGCCAAAUCUUUUCUGGCCAGCAUCUUCAGUCAUUUAAAAUAUGUUCAGCUAGUCUUCCAAUAUUAUUUGUUCUUGCAUUGGUGUCACUGGUUCUGUCUGCUAAAGAAAAAAAAUAAUCAUUUUUAUAGCUGUGGUAACUCUGAGAAGAGUAAUCAGAUUCUGACAAAAUACCUCAGUGGUUUCGUUGCAUUUGUUUGAUAUUGAGCACUAACGAAGAAAACAAAAGAAAUUGGGACUUAUUUUAAACUUAUUAUUCAGCCUCUGAUUCUUCUCAGUAGAAGGAUAUAGAAAAACUUCAUGAUUAAUGAGCUGGUAAAUACUUGCUUUAAAAAAAUACAUAAUUCUGUGCUUAUGUGGUGUUUGAAGUAGAUAUUCUCUCUUAAUUUGCAACAGCCCCACCAUAGCUGUAGUACUCACCUACAAAGCUUUUCAGUGGUGCUACAUGGCUAAAAUACAUAUUCAGUCUAGGUACGUGUACCAGGGACUUCUCGGAUCUCACCAGGGAGAGGGUACAUUUGGCAUUAAAUAAUUUUAACUUUUACAGAAGGAUUUCUAGUUUCUAAGAAAAACAUCGUUUUUAUUUCCAGUUUUAUAUGCCAAGAUGCCUCACUGUAAACCAUCACAUAGUGCAAGUUAAAUAAGAGCUCAGGAAUACUUGACAUCGCACAGCGAUGGCUGGCUGUAAGCAGCCAGAGAUAAAUGAGUCCAAAAGAGAAGAAAACAAGAUCUUCAGCUGGCUCACACUGAUGCUGCUCUCCUCAAACAUGUGUUUUAAAGUGCAGCUGUCAACAAUUCCAUGAGGUGCAUGCUGCCAUUUCCUAGAAGAUAUUAACUUAAGAGAAAAACCCACAUCAGUGAGAAGGGACGAUGAAAAGAAAACUGCGGCCAAUGGCAAGGAGUGAGGGCCCGGAUUGAACAUGCUGUGCAGGUGCUGGAGGACAAAUGCGGUAAGAUCUCCUUUGCAGACGCCACAGCCAUGAAAGGGAUCCAGUGGAAUCCAGUGCUGCACUUGGUGCUUCAGACUGGGAUCCCAAACAACCAGCC